AAAAAACCAGUUAGUCUGCUAAAUUAUUUGCACUACUUUACACCUACUUUAAGCCUUCCACAAUGCUGCCAAACGCUGGCCUUACUUUUUUUAUGCUGUUUGCCAUGCUAAUAAUAACCGUGGAAGAAAACGGAAGAAAACGCGACGGCUUCUCUGACCGCGGAGGGGAUGGAAGCCCUACGCACUAAACGAAGCAUUGGGGUGUUUGGAGAUCCGAACUGCUUUCCGUGGUCUUCCUGCCCAUGUGGAUGUCCCAGUACAGACUAUUACUGUGGACAUUUGUGUAAAUACAUAAAUGCAACCACAAAGGUACCACAAGAUCGACUCAGUACUGCGGCAACCAACAACAUCGAAGGAGCCUUGCAAACAUGCAAGAAUAUUAUAAACACAUUAUACGUGCACGGACAUCACCACAAAAAAAAACGCGGAAAACAACCGUUUGAUAAUACUAUUCCAUAAAGCUUCUUUGUAUCUUCCAUGGAGAUCAUCAAUUUCUUCUUGCGAAGGUUGAGCAAUUUUUUGGACCUCAAUGGAUUUUCCAACUAAAUAUACCAGAACCUAAUUAGAGAUUUUCCAGUUGGUGAAUUUUUUAGUAAAUAUUGGAUAACACUUACCUACUACGUUGAUCGGCCUUUUGAGAGGCUGCCAAAAGAAAAUUUUGGAGCAACCAUAAAAGAUCACCAGAGGAAAACCAGUUAAUGAUGCAAACCAUGAUUGCACAUUUCGUAAUCGCGAGCCAGUUGGAUUAUCAAAAACCUGGUGGAAGAUGUCGGUCUCGCCGAAAGAGUAAACGGGAACCAAAUGACAUCUGCAACAUAUACUCUUUUCUAAUGCCAUGCGGAUAAAUCCUUUCCGAUUUUCCAAAACAAGGGUAUUUCGUCCAGGCCAAGCUUCGAACAUUUCCGCCGCUCCUCCGGGAAUUAAGACCAGUACAUUGCCGGUGCUUUUCUCCGCGAUACGCUUAAUGUUCCGCUUUGACGCACUGGAGCAGCCGCCCCAUAGAAACAUUUCACGGAACAGAGGAAACCAGAACACGAGCCGUGAGACCAGAAUAUGCAACCGCAUUCCUGGCAAUCGUUGGCUGAUCCCCAGACCUUCGGAGAUUAACGCACCACUGACACCGGUGGCCAGAAUCCCGUGCGGAUGACAUGCGAAAAUGUAGUUGUUAUCCGGAGUGAUGGUCUGCGGCGUGGUUACAUGUAAAGCGGUGGAGAAGUACUGAUACCAAUAGUUAGUAAAACUGCAAUUGCGUAGCGGUCGCCAUGAUCGUCCGCCUUGAUUCUGAGAAUCGUCGAUCAGCAUCCACGCAAAAAGCAGUAACGGUAUCCAAAAGUAAUUCGUAAAUAAGAGCUUUAUUAAAACAGGGUACACAAUUAUCCAUCCUCCCCAGCAAAGAAAUAUAAUAUUGGUGCAGUAAUACCAGGAGAUUACUAAUAGUUUCUGGUUCCACAUUAAUAUUACCUGAGCAGUCACGCUUGCUGGGAAAAAUCCUAGUUAGAAGACUAUUUAGAUUGAAUAAUAUGUUUAACAGAAUCGAUGAAAGGCAUGCUUAUUGAGUGCUCACAUGUGGGAGUGCAUGCAUAUCAGUAGACUGUAUGUACAGGUAUAUGGCAUAUACCUGUACAUACACUCACAUCGUAAAAUGCGCGAAUCAUCCGGUAAACACAAGCAACCGGUUGCGGAAA